rnacentral:rRNA from 1 species
AUCCCGAUUCGGGGAGGUAGUGACAACAAAUAACAAUACNNGGCCAAUGGUCUUGUUAUUGGAAUGAGAACAAUUUAAAUAACUUAACGAGGAUCNAUUANAGGGCAAGUCUGGUGCCANCAGCCGCGGUAAUUCCAGCUCCAAUANCGUAUAUUAAAGUUGUUGCGGUUAAAAAGCUCGUAGUUGGAUUUCUGUUGCNAAUGGCCGGUCUUCACUACGUGAAUGUAUCUGGUUCANUCNNGGCAUCCUCAUAGGAAACGUUGCUGCGCUUCACUGCGUGGUGCGGUGCCUAUGACUUUUACUUUGAGGAAAUUANAGUGUUCACGGCAGGCAAUCGCCCUGAAUAUGUUAGCAUGGAAUAAUAAUAUAGGAUCUUGGUUCUAUUUUGUUGGUUUCUANAGCUAAGAUAAUGGUUAAUAGGAACAAUUGGGGGCAUUUGUAUUAACAUGUCAGAGGUGGAAUUCUUGGAUUAUGUUACGACAAACUACUGCGAAAGCAUUUGCCAAGGAUGUUUUCAUUGAUCAAGAACGAAAGUAAGGGGAUCGAAGAUGAUUNNUACCGUCGUAGUCUUUACCAUAAACUAUGUCAACUCGGGAUGUAGCGUCGUUCUUUUUAUGACUCGCUGCGCACCGUAUGAGAUAUCAAAGUUUUUGGAUUCCGGGGGGAGUAUG